rnacentral:rRNA from 1 species
AGUCACCUACGGGGGGCAGCAGUGGGAAAUAUUGCACAAUGGGGGAAACCCUGAUGCAGCGACGCCGCGUGAGUGAAGAAGUAUCUCGGUACGUAAAGCUCUAUCAGCAGGGAAGAAGAAAAGUCCUUUGGACUUUGGACGGUACCUGACCAAGAAGCCCCGGCUAACUACGUGCCAGCAGCCGCGGUAAUACGUAGGGGGCAAGCGUUAUCCGGAUUUACUGGGUGUAAAGGGAGCGUAGACGGCAGCGCAAGUCUGGAGUGAAAUGCCGGGGCCCAACCCCGGAACUGCUUUGGAAACUGGGC